rnacentral:rRNA from 1 species
AUUGAACGCUGGCGGCAUGCUUUACACAUGCAAGUCGAACGGUAACAGGCCGCAAGGUGCUGACGAGUGGCGAACGGGUGAGUAAUGCAUCGGAACGUGCCCAGUCGUGGGGGAUAACGCAGCGAAAGCUGUGCUAAUACCGCAUACGAUCUAUGGAUGAAAGCGGGGGACCGUAAGGCCUCGCGCGAUUGGAGCGGCCGAUGUCAGAUUAGGUAGUUGGUGGGGUAAAGGCCUACCAAGCCGACGAUCUGUAGCUGGUCUGAGAGGACGACCAGCCACACUGGGACUGGGAAACGGCCCAGACUCAUACGGGAGGCAGCAGUGGGGAAUUUUGGACAAUGGGCGCAAGCCUGAUCCAGCAAUGCCGCGUGCGGGAUGAAGGCCUUCGGGUUGUAAACUGCUUUUGUACGGAACGAAAAGCCCUGGGUUAAUACCCUGGGGUCAUGACGGUACCGUAAGAAUAAGCACCGGCUAACUACGUGCCAGCAGCCGCGGUAACAC